CAGGCUGUGAAAACACUUCAGGCCAGUCCCUGAGUAGGAAUGGACAACAAGGUGGUCACCAUGCUGACAGCUAUUCCCUGUGUGAUUUACUUUAUUAUGAAGUCUAAAUUUGAUGCUGAAGUGCUAGCCUAAGCUCACUAACCUGCCAACUUAGAGAAGAAGGUAACCAUGGCUAGGAUGACUGGGAAUCUGAUGGACUCAAUUAAGAAUUUCUACAGAUGGGAAAACCAAAACUCCUUAGUGGCAAGAGGCCAAAGAUGGUCAGCGAAUUGUUGUUUCCGGCUGUUGGAAGUUGACUGCAGUUGAAUAACAGAACAAAAACGGAGCUUCAAAAUCAUGGCGUGCCUGCUUCUUCUGGGUUCUUUUAACUGCAAGCAAUCAGCUUUGAAGAGCACGUAGGGAACUUCUGAUGUGAUACAAACUUUUGUCUUUUUUUUUUUUUUUGUCUUUUAAGAGCAUUCAAAAACAAAAAAAAA
rnacentral:lncRNA from 1 species